GCACUCGGCUUGGUAACGUGAGGUUUCGUGCGCUCUCACUCCGUCGCUCGCGUGUGUGUUUGUGUCAAGAGGGGAUGGGACACAUUUGUGUGUUACUCUUUGAUCUGUUUUGGAAUAAGUGGAUUUUGAUAAUAACUGUGACUUGCCUAUCAAAAGUGGACUUUCUUUGAGGAUUUCCUUUAUUUAAGAAGCAGAUCCAACGCUCCAGAGUGAGUGUCGAGAGACUGUGUAUUGUAUGCUGUAUACUGUAUGCUGUACCCUCUCUCCUGUACCCCGACAUUGGCUAUGAUGCUAAGGAUUAUGUGAAUUGAUGAGACGUUUGAGGUACGCGAAUGAGAGGAAGAAAGUGACAGAAGAGAUAGAUAGAUAGAUAGAAAGAAAUAACAGAGAGAAAGAAGAAAGACCAAGUAAAAGGGGAAAUAGAUAGAAGUUUGUUGACAAAAGCAAAGACUGAAUUACCCAUUAGUGAAAUGAAGCAAAGAAUUUGACUAAGAGAAAGAGAGAAAAGGAAAGGAAAAAACAGAAAGAUCAGGAAAGAAAGAAUGACAAAAAAACUAAACUGAUGUACUGGAAAAACUCGCAGUUUGUGGGAAAGAGACUGAGUGACACCUAGUUAUGAGAAGAGAGUGCCUAACGAGAGGUGUGUGUGUGGCACUCCUGUUCUCGCUGGCACUGACUGUGGUGGGUCUCGUGACAUUCUUUGUGGCACUGCUGACGACCACAUAACCCUGAGAGAGAGAGAGAGAAAGAGGGAGAGAGAGAGAGAGAAAUAGAAAGACUCUCCAUCAACGGACUUUUAUUCGCCGAUUUGAAAGGAUCCAACGCUCCAGAGUGAGUGUCGAGAGACUGUGUAUUGUAUGCUGUAUACUGUAUGCUGUACCCUCUCUCCUGUACCCCGACAUUGGCUAUGAUGCUAAGGAUUAUGUGAAUUGAUGAGACGUUUGAGGUACGCGAAUGAGAGGAAGGAAGUGACAGAAGAGAUACAUAGAUAGAUAGAUAGAAAGAAAUAACAGAGAGAAAGAAGAAAGACCAAGU
rnacentral:lncRNA from 1 species